rnacentral:rRNA from 1 species
UACGUAGGCAGCAAGCGUUGUUCGGAGUUACUGGGCGUAAAGGGUGUGUAGGCGGUUGUUUAAGUUUGGUGUGAAAUCUCCCGGCUCAACUGGGAGGGUGCGCCGAAUACUGAAUGACUAGAGUGCGGGAGAGGAAAGUGGAAUUCCUGGUGUAGACGGUGAAAUGCGUAGAUAUCAGGAGGAACACCGGUGGUGUAGACGGCUUUCUGGACCGUAACUGACGCUGAGACACGAAAGCGUGGGUAGCAAACAGG